rnacentral:rRNA from 1 species
GAGAGUUUGAUCCUGGCUCAGGAUGAACGCUGGCGGCGUGCCUAAUACAUGCAAGUCGAGCGAACGGACGAGAAGCUUGCUUCUCUGAUGUUAGCGGCGGACGGGUGAGUAACACGUGGAUAACCUACCUAUAAGACUGGGAUAACUUCGGGAAACCGGAGCUAAUACCGGAUGAUAUUUUGAACCGCAUGGUUCAAAAGUGAAAGACGGUCUUGCUGUCACUUAUAGAUGGAUCCGCGCUGCAUUAGCUAGUUGGUAAGGUAACGGCUUACCAAGGCAACGAUGCAUAGCCGACCUGAGAGGGUGAUCGGCCACACUGGAACUGAGACACGGUCCAGACUCCUACGGGAGGCAGCAGUAGGGAAUCUUCCGCAAUGGGCGAAAGCCUGACGGAGCAACGCCGCGUGAGUGAUGAAGGUCUUCGGAUCGUAAAACUCUGUUAUUAGGGAAGAACAUAUGUGUAAGUAACUGUGCACAUCUUGACGGUACCUAAUCAGAAAGCCACGGCUAACUACGUGCCAGCAGCCGCGGUAAUACGUAGGUGGCAAGCGUUAUCCGGAAUUAUUGGGCGUAAAGCGCGCGUAGGCGGUUUUUUAAGUCUGAUGUGAAAGCCCACGGCUCAACCGUGGAGGGUCAUUGGAAACUGGAAAACUUGAGUGCAGAAGAGGAAAGUGGAAUUCCAUGUGUAGCGGUGAAAUGCGCAGAGAUAUGGAGGAACACCAGUGGCGAAGGCGACUUUCUGGUCUGUAACUGACGCUGAUGUGCGAAAGCGUGGGGAUCAAACAGGAUUAGAUACCCUGGUAGUCCACGCCGUAAACGAUGAGUGCUAAGUGUUAGGGGGUUUCCGCCCCUUAGUGCUGCAGCUAACGCAUUAAGCACUCCGCCUGGGGAGUACGACCGCAAGGUUGAAACUCAAAGGAAUUGACGGGGACCCGCACAAGCGGUGGAGCAUGUGGUUUAAUUCGAAGCAACGCGAAGAACCUUACCAAAUCUUGACAUCCUUUGACAACUCUAGAGAUAGAGCCUUCCCCUUCGGGGGACAAAGUGACAGGUGGUGCAUGGUUGUCGUCAGCUCGUGUCGUGAGAUGUUGGGUUAAGUCCCGCAACGAGCGCAACCCUUAAGCUUAGUUGCCAUCAUUAAGUUGGGCACUCUAAGUUGACUGCCGGUGACAAACCGGAGGAAGGUGGGGAUGACGUCAAAUCAUCAUGCCCCUUAUGAUUUGGGCUACACACGUGCUACAAUGGACAAUACAAAGGGCAGCGAAACCGCGAGGUCAAGCAAAUCCCAUAAAGUUGUUCUCAGUUCGGAUUGUAGUCUGCAACUCGACUACAUGAAGCUGGAAUCGCUAGUAAUCGUAGAUCAGCAUGCUACGGUGAAUACGUUCCCGGGUCUUGUACACACCGCCCGUCACACCACGAGAGUUUGUAACACCCGAAGCCGGUGGAGUAACCUUUUAGGAGCUAGCCGUCGAAGGUGGGACAAAUGAUUGGGGUGAAGUCGUAACAAGGUAGCCGUA